GGUUUGUUAAGUCAGAUGUGAAAGCCCGGGGCUCAACCUCGGAACUGCAUUUGAAACUGGCAGGCUAGAGUCUUGUAGAGGGGGGUAGAAUUUCAGGUGUAGCGGUGAAAUGCGUAGAGAUCUGAAGGAAUACCAGUGGCGAAGGCGGCCCCCUGGACAAAGACUGACGCUCAGAUGCGAAAGCGUGGGUAGCAAACAGGAUUAGAUACCCUGGUAGUCCACGCCGUAAACGCUGUCUACUUGGAGGUUGAGGUUUAGACUUUGGCUUUCGGCGCUAACGCAUUAAGUAGACCGCCUGGGGAGUACGGCCGCAAGGUUAAAACUCAAAUGAAUUGACGGGGGCCCGCACAAGCGGUGGAGCAUGUGGUUUAAUUCGAUGCAACGCGUAGAACCUUACCUACUCUUGACAUCCAGCGAAUCCUUUAGAGAUAGAGGAGUGCCUUCGGGAGCGCUGAGACAGGUGCUGCAUGGCUGUCGUCAGCUCGUGUUGUGAAAUGUUGGGUUAAGUCCCGCAACGAGCGCAACCCUUAUCCUUGUUUGCCAGCACAUAAUGGUGGGAACUCCAGGGAGACUGCCGGUGAUAAACCGGAGGAAGGUGGGGACGACGUCAAGUCAUCAUGGCCCUUACGAGUAGGGCUACACACGUGCUACAAUGGCAGAUACAGAGGGCAGCGAAGCUGCGAAGUGGAGCGAAUCCCUUAAAGUUUGUCGUAGUCCGGAUUGGAGUCUGCAACUCGACUCCAUGAAGUCGGAAUCGCUAGUAAUCGUGGAUCAGAAUGCCACGGUGAAUACGUUCCCGGGCCUUGCACACACCGCCCGU
rnacentral:rRNA from 1 species